rnacentral:rRNA from 1 species
UACAGAGGGGGCGAGCGUUAUUCGGAAUUAUUGGGCGUAAAGGGCGCGUAGGCGGCUUUGCAAGUGACGGGUGAAAUCCCUCGGCUUAACCGAGGAACUGCCUGUCAAACUGCAUGGCUUGAGACCGGGAGAGGUGAGUGGAAUUCCCAGUGUAGCGGUGAAAUGCGUAGAUAUUGGGAGGAACACCAGUGGCGAAGGCGGGAUCCUGGGCCAGUACUGACGCUGAGGAGCGAAAGCGUGGGGAGCAAACAGG